AGUGCAAAGAUUGGAGUGGAACUGCUGAAUCACCAAGCAAGUGUAUUUUUGCUCUGAGGUGGAAGCUGGAACACAGACAUAAUAUGAGAGAAGUGAAUGCUUAGUCGGUUCCUUGGAACUUGAGGUGGAUUUCCAAGCCUGAGUUGUGGCAUACUUCUCCUUGUCUUGGAAUACUGAAGGCUGCUCCAUUGAUUCUGUCAUCGCAUUUGGGAAACAGCAAAUUCUGAUCAUUGAGGAAAGGUAACAAUCAUUCCCUGACUUGUUCCUUCGGGUGAUAUGGUCACUUUUCAUCUGAAUGUCAAGAUGACAAAAUAUAUGAUUGAAUACGUCUUUCAGUAACUCUUAUUAGAAAAAUCCAGUUUGGUCACACAAGUGAUUUACAUUUUUCUGCUUGGGAAGUCUUUAAUGACUAAGAUGAAUGCCAGUAGUGGGUGUUGUACUUGGAGUUGGGAACCCUUCGGUACUACUGAAAGGAUACAGAUUACAGUGCCUGGAAAAGGUGGCAAGCUUUGAAAUAGCGUUUGCCAUCUCUAAAAAGGUACUCCAACAAACUAGAUUUGACAUCAUUUCUGAUACUUGUUGUAUCUCCUACAAGACAGUAUUCAUGGGAAUGGAAUGCUGUUAAGUAGUUGUGCCCUGCUUACAUCAACUGUACGUAGGACAACUGUGCUUUAGACGUAGAGAAAUAAAUACGGCAGAUCAGAUGCUCA
ensembl:lncRNA